rnacentral:rRNA from 1 species
GGUUAAGCGACUAAGCGUACACGGUGGAUGCCCUGGCAGUCAGAGGCGAUGAAGGACGUGCUAAUCUGCGGAAAGCGUCGGUAAGGAGAUAUGAACCGUUAUAACCGGCGAUGUCCGAAUGGGGAAACCCAGUGUGAUUCGUCACACUAUCGUUAACUGAAUACAUAGGUUAACGAGGCGAACCGGGGGAACUGAAACAUCUAAGAACCCCGAGGAAAAGAAAUCAACCGAGAUUCCCCCAGUA